UAACACGCAGUUUGAGAAUUGCGAAAAUAAUCACCCGCUUCUUGCCACAUACUUUUCACUUUUUUAUUAUCAUUAUUAUAAUUUGUUUUAGGAUUUAGGGUGCUUAUAUUGCGUUUAUUGUUGUUCUUGUUGUUGUUUUAACCCCGAGUGUCUUGUUUACACUUAAAUGAUGCAUCUUUAAAAACAAUCAAACUAAACUGUGUGUCAUAAUCAGGCACCGAUAACAAGAUAUUGAAAUUGUGCAUCGCUGUGAUGUUGACGCUGCGUUUUUUUUUAAUUUAUUUUAUUUAAAGUGAAGUUAGACGUAAUAUGAAAUCGUGUCUGCUAGUCCAGACAUUUGUGAGAUGAGAUGGAGGAAAGAUGGAACUCCAAAACCCCUGGAGGUUUUUCGAUAUCAAAAGGAUCUCAAGUGGAGCCCUGGCACAGUACUCCUGUAAAAAAGAAUGUUUUUGCUGCUAAAGAGACCCCAGAUGUUUCUUCCACCAAACUCGGAGAUGAAAACAGAUCAAGACCUGCAGCGCUGAGUCUGCAUGACCUCUCAAAACCGAUGUCCUCUUUCUCAUUAAUGCAAGAUUAUCAGAGCCCAGUUAAUGGAUUGGAGGUCUCCACUAUCCAGAGGCAGCGUCUGGAGCUGCAGCUUCUCAUAGCAGAACUGAAGGACCGUGAACAGGAGCUCAAUACUACGGCAGCAGCCCAUCACAAGCAGCUCCUGUCCUGGGAACAGGACCGUCAAAGAGUGCUGAUCCUGGAACAGAGAUGUGCCCGACUGGAGGAUGAGCUGGAGAAGCGUAAUGAAGUGAUCAGAGCUCUCAGUAAGCAGACAAAGGUGUCGGAAACGAGAGAGAAAGAUGUGUCCAGAGAGCUCAACAGCUCCCAACAGCAGCUUCACGAGCUGAGCCGCAGACAGAUGAACAUCUCCAGACAUGAGCACGACUUGGAGGAGAGGAACCAGAGUCUGGACUCCACGGUCAUGAGGCUGUCAUCACAGCUGGGACAGCUGCAGGUGCGCGAGGUGGAGGUCAGCUCCAUGCUUAAACUGAAGGAUAGAGACGUGAUUGAGGCCACCAAUCACAUUUUAGAGCUGUCCGGUCAUCUGUGUGAACUGCAGAAAUCACUUGAAGAGCUGCGAACACGUGAGAGCAAAAUGCUGCGGGAAAUGGAGGAACACAAACACUGUUUCAGAGAGAGCAGACAUGAAAACACACAACUGAAAGCCGAGCUUCAGGAAAAAACCAUUGAGAACAAUAACCAGAGAGAAGAGCUCAUCCGCUUAAAGCAGGAAAACCAGCUGUUGAAGAAAGACAUCACUGCUGUUGAACUUCAUAUGAUGAAUGAAGAUAAAAGCUGGAGGGAUGAAUUACUUGAACUCUCCCGAUCAAAACAAUCUCCAGCUGAAUCUGAGCUGCUCUGUCUGCGGCAGGUGUGUGAAAACCAAAAAAAUGACCUCCAGCUGCUAAAGCUGAACUUGGAGAGCACCAGAGAGUCACUCCGACAUCAUGAGGGUCAAAGGUCACGGGAGAGGGCUGAUUCUGUUUUAGGAGACACUCAUGUGCUAGAAUACAGUGAUCAUCAAGAAGGGACAGAACUAGAAACAGGGCUAAUGUCCAUCCUGUGCCACAGCACAAGCAGAAAUGCCCCAUCGGGUUUAACACAGCAUCUUUGUGUUGAAAUGGAAACGCAGACUGACUCUGAGCAUGACUUUAGCACAGCUUUGAGUGCAACAAACCAUGAAGUCACAGAACAGUCAGCCGUAGAGGAAAAUUGCUCAGGCGCCAACAUUACGAACAGCUGUGCAACUAGCCAGUGUGACAUCAAUGAGCAAGAAUCACCCAAGAUGGUAAUAAAGGAAAGAGCGAACAAUUGUGUUGCGGCGUCAUCCCAGUCUCUCUGCUGUGAUAACGCUGACAGCCCAUCAGAAGAUCCACAGAGUCGGGCAGUGUAUUCUGACACUAGAGCUGAUGUGGAUUUAAUGGCUGUCAUUGACUAUGAUUCAGAGACAGGAACUCCUUUCUGUGUAGUCGAUGUGGAUAUCAGUCCAAGAUUCUCUUGUGUUGCAGAUCUGAGCCUUCUUAAUCUGGAUUGCCCCUCCCCCUCACACAGAAGUAGGCGGAGCUCUGUCUGUUUACCUGAUUCUAUGCUAAGCAUUGAACUCUGUGCCAAUGAUGUAGCUUGCCAAGGCAAUGAGGAGAGCUACAGCUCAUCCACAACACGGUUACAGCGUCUGCCGGCUGAGUCUCAGGAAAUGGUUUCAAGUUUGGAAAGUUCUAUCAAGAAAAAUGUCAACCCGACAGAACCUCAGAGUCCAAUGAACUGUGAUGCUGGUUGUCACCGCCAAAGUAACUAUGAAAACAGCAGCCACUCCCAAACCUCCACCCAUAACCAAACACGCGGGCAAAGUGACUCCCAGAUUGAAAGCAGCCCACGUUUGCAUCAAGGAAUCAAGUCAUGAGGUCCAUAAAGCCAUGAGAAGCAGUGAAUCCCCAUUAACUAUCAUCUUCUCUCACUGCUUCUAAAAAAUACAUCAGUUUUUUGCAACCAAAGAGGAGUUUUCUGAAGAUAACAAUUUCACUGUCAUCUAACCUGUUUGGUGAACUGUGAUGUGGCUCUUUUCUGGAUCAUCGUGUUUUACAUCCGAAAUGCAGUCUCGUUCCCACAGAAAAGACAAGGAGCCAUCAGCCUUAUCAAAAGCCACUGAACUGCAGUAUAUUUGCCUGAUCUCAGGACAUCUAAAAGAACAAUAAAGCUCUUUACAUGCUGCCAUUAUCGGUUUCUUUUAAUUGGUUGUUUUGAUU